rnacentral:rRNA from 1 species
CCUACGGGGGGCUGCAGUGAGGAAUAUUGGUCAAUGGCCGGGAGGCUGAACCAGCCAAGUCGCGUGUGGGAAGACGGCCCUACGGGUUGUAAACCUCUUUUGUCAGGGAGCAAGGUGCAGGUCGGGACCUGCUGUGAGAGUACCUGAAGAAAAAGCAUCGGCUAACUCCGUGCCAGCAGCCGCGGUAAUACGGGGGAUGCGAGCGUUAUCCGGAUUUAUGGGGUUUAAAGGGUGCGUAGGCGGGCUGUUAAGUCAGCGGUAAAAUGUCGGGGCUCAACCGCGGCCUGCCGUUGAAACUGGCGGCCGAGAGUGGGGGAGAAGUAUGCGGAAUGCGUGGUGUAGCGGUGAAAUGCAUAGAUAUCACGCAGAACUCCGAUUGCGAAGGCAGCAUACCGGAGCCCGACUGACGCUGAGGCACGAAAGCGUGGGUAUCGAACAGGAUUAGAUACCCGAGUAGUC